AGAGUUUGAUCCUGGCUCAGGACGAACGCUGGCGGCGUGCUUAACACAUGCAAGUCGAACGGAAAGGCCCCGCUUGCGGGGUACUCGAGUGGCGAACGGGUGAGUAACACGUGGGUGAUCUGCCCUGCACUUCGGGAUAAGCCUGGGAAACUGGGUCUAAUACCGGAUAGGACCCCUCUUUAGUGUGGGGGGUGGAAAGUUUUUUCGGUGUGGGAUGAGCCCGCGGCCUAUCAGCUUGUUGGUGGGGUAAUGGCCUACCAAGGCGUCGACGGGUAGCCGGCCUGAGAGGGUGGACGGCCACAUUGGGACUGAGAUACGGCCCAGACUCCUACGGGAGGCAGCAGUGGGGAAUAUUGCACAAUGGGCGGAAGCCUGAUGCAGCGACGCCGCGUGGGGGAUGACGGCCUUCGGGUUGUAAACCUCUUUCGCUAGGGACGAAGCUUUUGUGACGGUACCUAGAUAAGAAGCACCGGCUAACUACGUGCCAGCAGCCGCGGCAAUACGUAGGGUGCGAGCGUUGUCCGGAAUUACUGGGCGUAAAGAGCUCGUAGGUGGUUUGUCGCGUCGUCUGUGAAAUUCCGGGGCUUAACUUCGGGCGUGCAGGCGAUACGGGCAAUACUUGAGUGCUGUAGGGGAGACUGGAAUUCCUGGUGUAGCGGUGGAAUGCGCAGAUAUCAGGAGGAACACCGAUGGCGAAGGCAGGUCUCUGGGCAGUAACUGACGCUGAGGAGCGAAAGCAUGGGUAGCGAACAGGAUUAGAUACCCUGGUAGUCCAUGCCGUAAACGGUGGGCGCUAGGUGUAGGGGUCUUCCACGACUUCUGUGCCGUAGCUAACGCAUUAAGCGCCCCGCCUGGGGAGUACGGCCGCAAGGCUAAAACUCAAAGGAAUUGACGG
rnacentral:rRNA from 1 species